rnacentral:rRNA from 1 species
GACGAACGCUGGCGGCGUGCUUAACACAUGCAAGUCGAACGGAAAGGCCCUGCUUUUGUGGGGUGCUCGAGUGGCGAACGGGUGAGUAACACGUGAGUAACCUGCCCUUGACUUUGUGAUAACUUCAGGAAACUCGGGCUAAUACCGGAUAGGAGCUCCUGCUGCAUGGUGGGGGUUGGAAAGUUUCGGCGGUUGGGGAUGGACUCGCGGCUUAUCAGCUUGUUGGUGGGGUAGUGGCUUACCAAGGCUUUGACGGGUAGCCGGCCUGAGAGGGUGACCGGCCACAUUGGGACUGAGAUACGGCCCAGACUCCUACGGGAGGCAGCAGUGGGGAAUAUUGCACAAUGGGCGGAAGCCUGAUGCAGCAACGCCGCGUGCGGGAUGACGGCCUUCGGGUUGUAAACCGCUUUCGCCUGUGACGAAGCGUGAGUGACGGUAAUGGGUAAAGAAGCACCGGCUAACUACGUG